rfam:Halomonas sp. S2151 contig0102, whole genome shotgun sequence.
GCGCAUUCCUGGGGGAGCCUGACGGCUGAGAUUCCGCAUCACGCGGUAACCCUUUGAACCUGAUCCGGGUCAUGCCGGCGAAGGGAAGGAUGGUUGCGUUAUC